rnacentral:rRNA from 1 species
AUUGAACGCUGGCGGCAUGCCUUACACAUGCAAGUCGAACGGCAGCGGACCUUCGGGUGCCGGCGAGUGGCGAACGGGUGAGUAAUAUAUCGGAACGUACCUUUCAGUGGGGGAUAACGUAGCGAAAGUUACGCUAAUACCGCAUAUUCUGUGAGCAGGAAAGCAGGGGAUCGCAAGACCUUGCGCUGACUGAGCGGCCGAUAUCAGAUUAGCUAGUUGGUGAGGUAAAGGCUCACCAAGGCGACGAUCUGUAGCGGGUCUGAGAGGAUGAUCCGCCACACUGGAACUGAGACACGGUCCAGACUCCUACGGGAGGCAGCAGUGGGGAAUUUUGGACAAUGGGCGCAAGCCUGAUCCAGCCAUGCCGCGUGAGUGAAGAAGG